CCUGGUAGAACACGCUGUAAACGAUGUCGACUUGGAGGUUGUGCCCUUGAGGCGUGGCUUCCGGAGCUAACGCGUUAAGUCGACCGCCUGGGGAGUACGGCCGCAAGGUUAAAACUCAAAUGAAUUGACGGGGGCCCGCACAAGCGGUGGAGCAUGUGGUUUAAUUCGAUGCAACGCGAAGAACCUUACCUACUCUUGACAUCCACGGAAUUCGCCAGAGAUGGCUUAGUGCCUUCGGGAACCGUGAGACAGGUGCUGCAUGGCUGUCGUCAGCUCGUGUUGUGAAAUGUUGGGUUAAGUCCCGCAACGAGCGCAACCCUUAUCCUUUGUUGCCAGCACGUAAUGGUGGGAACUCAAAGGAGACUGCCGGUGAUAAACCGGAGGAAGGUGGGGAUGACGUCAAGUCAUCAUGGCCCUUACGAGUAGGGCUACACACGUGCUACAAUGGCAUAUACAAAGAGAAGCGAACUCGCGAGAGCAAGCGGACCUCAUAAAGUAUGUCGUAGUCCGGAUUGGAGUCUGCAACUCGACUCCAUGAAGUCGGAAUCGCUAGUAAUCGUAGAUCAGAAUGCUACGGUGAAUACGUUCCCGGGCCUUGUACACACCGCCCGUCACACCAUGGGAGUGGGUUGCAAAAGAAGUAGGUAGCUUAAC
rnacentral:rRNA from 1 species